rnacentral:rRNA from 1 species
AGAGUUUGAUCCUGGCUCAGAACGAACGCUGGCGGCAGGCCUAACACAUGCAAGUCGAACGCGUGUAGCAAUACACGAGUGGCGCACGGGUGAGUAACACGUGGGAAUCUACCCAGAGGUUCGGAAUAACCGCGGGAAACUGCGGCUAAUACCGGAUAUCCCCUACGGGGGAAAGAUUUAUCGCCUUUGGACGAGCCCGCGUCCGAUUAGCUAGUUGGUGAGGUAAUGGCUCACCAAGGCUCCGAUCGGUAGCUGGUCUGAGAGGACGACCAGCCACACUGGAACUGAGAUACGGUCCAGACUCCUACGGGAGGCAGCAGUGGGGAAUAUUGGGCAAUGGAGGCAACUCUGACCCAGCCAUGCCGCGUGGGUGACGAAGGUCUUCGGAUUGUAAAGCCCUUUCGGCGGGGACGAUGAUGACGGUACCCGCAGAAGAAGCCCCGGCUAACUUCGUGCCAGCAGCCGCGGUAAUACGAAGGGGGCUAGCGUUGUUCGGAAUUACUGGGCGUAAAGGGCGUGUAGGCGGCCCGUUAAGACAGGUGUGAAAUUCCUGGGCUCAACCCAGGACGUGCGCCUGUGACUGGCGGGCUUGAGUCCGGGAGAGGAUGGUGGAACUCCCAGUGUAGAGGUGAAAUUCGUAGAUAUCGGGAGGAACACCAGUGGCGAAGGCGGCCCUCUGGACGGUGACUGACACUGAGAUGCGAAAGCGUGGGGAGCAAACAGGAUUAGAUACCCUGGUAGUCG